rnacentral:rRNA from 1 species
GGUAACACACACUGGAGGACCGAACCGACUAGUGUUGCAAAAUUAGCGGAUGAGCUGUGGAUAGGGGUGAAAGGCCAAACAAAUCUGGAGAUAGCUGGUUCUCCCCGAAAACUAUUGAGGUAGUGCCUCGUGUGUCGCUCCAGGGGGUAGAGCACUGUUUUGGCUAGGGGGACAUGGAGUCUUACCAAACCAAGGCAAACUCCGAAUACCUGGAAGCGUAAGCACGGGAGACAGAGCACCGGGUGCUAACGUCCGGACUCAAAAGGGAAACAACCCAGACCGCCGGCUAAGGUCCCCAAUAACAGCUAAGUGGAAAACGAAGUGGAAAGGCCGUGACAACCAGGAAGUUGGCUUAGAAGCAGCCAUCCUUCAAAGAAAGCGUAAUAGCUCACUGGUCGAGUCCUUCUGCGCGGAAGAUGUAACGGGGCUAAGCUGUUAACCGAAGCCGCGGAUGCACUGAUUAUUCAGUGCGUGGUAGGGGAGCGUUCUGUAAGUCUGCGAAGGCGGUUCGAGAGGACUGCUGGAGAUAUCAGAAGUGCGAAUGCUGACAUGAGUAACGUUAAAGCAGGUGAAAAGCCUGCUCGCCGUAAGCCCAAGGAUUCCUGCUCUACGUUCAUCGGAGCAGGGUGAGUCGGCUCCUAAGGUCAGGCCGAAAGGCGUAGCCGAUGGGAAUCAGGUUAAUAUUCCUGAACCUGCGUCAGAUGCGAUGGGGGGACGGAGCAUGAAAGAUCAUCCGGGUGUUGGAUGUCCCGGUUGACGAGCGUAGGAGGUCUGCAGGCAAAUCCGCAGACGCAUCUCCAAGGCGAAGUCACGUGCCGCCACGGCGGCGAAGUGAUCGGAAGUGCUUCCAAGAAAAGCCUCUAAGCACCAGUCUGACGCGGACCGUACCGCAAACCGACACUGGUGGGCGAGCUGAAUAUGCUCAGGCGCUUGAGAGAACUCGGGAGAAGGAACUCGGCAAAUUGACACCGUAACUUCGGAAGAAGGUGUGCCGUAGUACCGUGAGAGGAGAGACACCUUGAGCGGGAAUCGGUCUCAGAGAAUAGGUGGCUGCGACUGUUUAUUAAAAACACAGCACUCUGCAAAGUCGAAAGACGACGUAUAGGGUGUGAUGCCUGCCCGGUGCUGGAAGAUUAAUUGAUGGGGUGAGAGCCCUUGAUCGAAGUCCCAGUAAACGGCGGCCGUAACUAUAACGGUCCUAAGGUAGCGAAAUUCCUUGUCGGGUAAGUUCCGACCUGCACGAAUGGCAUAACGAUGGCCACACUGUCUCCUCCCGAGACUCAGUGAAGUUGAAAUGUUUGUGAUGAUGCAAUCUACCCGCGGCUAGACGGUAAGACCCCAUGAACCUUUACUGCAGCUUUGCAUUGAACUGUGAACCGAUUUGUGUAGGAUAGGUGGGAGGCAGAGAAGAGGCCACGCCAGUGGUCUUGGAGCCGACCUUGAAAUACCACCCUGAUUUGUUUGCGGUUCUAACCACGGACAGUGAUCCUGUCUUGGGACCGUGCAUGGUAGGCAGUUUGACUGGGGCGGUCUCCUCCUAAAGGGUAACGGAGGAGUACGAAGGUACGCUAGGUACGGUCGGAAAUCGUGCUGAUAGUGCAAUGGCAAAAGCGUGCUUGACUGCGAGAGCAACAACUCGAGCAGAUGCGAAAGCAGGUCAUAGUGAUCCGGUGGCUCUGAAUGGAAGGGCCAUCGCUCAACGGAUAAAAGGUACUCUGGGGAUAACAGGCUGAUACCGCCCAAGAGUUCAUAUCGACGGCGGUGUUUGGCACCUCGAUGUCGGCUCAUCUCAUCCUGGGGCUGUAGUCGGUCCCAAGGGUAUGGCUGUUCGCCAUUUAAAGAGGUACGUGAGCUGGGUUUAAAACGUCGUGAGACAGUUUGGUCCCUAUCUGCCGUGGGCGUUGGAAGAUUGACGGGGGCUGCUCCUAGUACGAGAGGACCGGAGUGGACGCACCUCUGGUGUACCGGUUGUCACGCCAGUGGCAUUGCCGGGUAGCUAAGUGCGGAAGAGAUAACCGCUGAAAGCAUCUAAGCGGGAAACUUGCCUGAAGAUGAGUCUUCCCGGAGGU